GAUGAACGCUGACAGAAUGCUUAACACAUGCAAGUCUACUUGAACUUCGGUUUGGGUGGCGGACGGGUGAGUAACGCGUAAAGAACUUGCCUCACAGUUAGGGACAACAUUUGGAAACGAAUGCUAAUACCUGAUAUUAUGAUUUUAGGGCAUCCUAAGAUUAUGAAAGCUAUAUGCGCUGUGAGAGAGCUUUGCGUCCCAUUAGCUAGUUGGAGAGGUAACGGCUCACCAAGGCGAUGAUGGGUAGCCGGCCUGAGAGGGUGAACGGCCACAAGGGGACUGAGACACGGCCCCUACUCCUACGGGAGGCAGCAGUGGGGAAUAUUGGACAAUGGACCAAAAGUCUGAUCCAGCAAUUCUGUGUGCACGAUGACGUUUUUCGGAAUGUAAAGUGCUUUCAGUUGGGAAGAAAAAAAUGACGGUACCAACAGAAGAAGUGACGGCUAAAUACGUGCCAGCAGCCGCGGUAAUACGUAUGUCACAAGCGUUAUCCGGAUUUAUUGGGCGUAAAGCGCGUCUAGGUGGUUAUGUAAGUCUGAUGUGAAAAUGCAGGGCUCAACUCUGUAUUGCGUUGGAAACUGCAUGACUAGAGUACUGGAGAGGUAAGCGGAACUACAAGUGUAGAGGUGAAAUUCGUAGAUAUUUGUAGGAAUGCCGAUGGGGAAGCCAGCUUACUGGACAGAUACUGACGCUAAAGCGCGAAAGCGUGGGUAGCAAACAGG
rnacentral:rRNA from 1 species